ensembl:lncRNA
AUGGUGGCUGUCCGUGCCCAGAAGCUCCAUCAUGUUGAUUGGCCAGUGGCCAGCCAAUCAGAGGCUUCCCUGGGAUUCUUCUCUUGUAGUUGCUGGGUCAUGCUGUCUCUUGCCUCCAGCUCACAGACCAGGAUGAUGGUGACUUAUCUGCAACUGAGCCCACGUUCUCUCUGUCUCUGGGGAAGGAAAGAGCCCGGGCAGAGACCCACAUGGGUGCAUGUGUGCUCCUGGGAGUCUGAAAGUCCACCCACCUGCCCUCAGCCACCUCUUGUCACUGAGAGGGCCAGGAUAAGGGAUGCUGGGAGGGUGGAAGGAAGCGUGGUGUGUCCAGGCCUGAGGCCGGGCCCCGUGUUCCACUCCGCUGGGCAGAGAACUUGCUACCUGAGGUGCCUGUUCGGGAAGAAGGAGCUGAGAAGAAGGCUUUAAAAAUGCAUGCAAGAAGUAAGCAACAGCCACAAACAAAACAAAAUAACUCCUGCUUCUAGGCUGGUUUUCUCUGGGUUUCCAGAAGGUGACAAUGACCUCCAUCCCUUGCAAAUCGGGAGGAGGACGCUGUGAGAUCUGCUUUCCCCGCAGUGUCCUCGGGCCUGCAGACUUGAUUAAGAUAUUAAACAGCACACGGGUGAGCCGGGUCUCCCGGGCAGCUGCCUCUGCUGGAGUCCUCAGCCUGAUGCAAGCGCCUCCAAUCCAGGGGUGCCGAAGGCUCUAUGGGAAUGAUCUGCCUCCUGAGAUAUAAAUUCCAAUUUACUGUGACACAAACGAUUACCCUGCAAACACUGGUCAUCCGUCUUCAGGUACCUGGGGGAUGUUCUGGCUGGUGUUAUUAUCUCCUGGAAAUUAAAAUGGCCCGAGGGUGAGGAUUACUUCCUGCCAGAGCCAGGGUGUCCUGCCUCCCCUGCCCCAACCUCUGGGCCUGGGAGUGGGUGGCAGAGGCCCUGGGUCACUGGAGGAGGAGCUGUGUAGAAAGCCUGGUGGCGGGGAGGGGGUUGGAAGAAGAGGCCCCUGUGUGGAACAGAAGGCCAGGGUCUCUCCCCUGAUGGCCCCACUGGGCAGAAGGGUCCCCCUGUGGGGAGGGGUCUCCAAGGUCGUCUCCCCCCAUCUAGGACUCCCC